AUACGGAGGGUCCGAGCGUUAUCCGGAAUCAUUGGGUUUAAAGGGUCCGUAGGCGGGAAUCUAAGUCAGUGGUGAAAUCUUGCAGCUCAACUGUAAAAUUGCCACUGAUACUGGAUUUCUUGAAUUAGUGUGAAGUGGUUAGAAUGUGUAGUGUAGCGGUGAAAUGCAUAGAUAUUACACAGAAUACCAAUUGCGAAGGCAGAUCACUAACACUAUAUUGACGCUAAGGGACGAAAGCGUGGGGAGCGAACAGGAUUAGAAACCCGGGUAGUCC
rnacentral:rRNA from 1 species